GGACUUCCGGUGAAGGUCGCAGUUAUACAGCAGUACGGCAACAAAAGCGGACCAAGUUUAAGAGAGAAAAGCGUUUCUUAUUUAUAACAUAUAUGGGAAGUGAAAGUCUUUAAUGAGUGAGGAAUAAACUCUUACCUCUAUUUUAUCGAGUGUGAAAAACGAUGAGAUGACUGAUCUUAUCCUUUAUUGUUAUAGAUGACAAAAAUAAAAUAAAAUAAAAUAACAUAAAUUUAAAAUAAAAUAGAAAAAUAGACAGAGCUUUGGGGUUAAAUUUAUUACUUCGAAAAACAAAAACUAAAAUUAGCUAACAAAAAUAAUAAAACAAAUUAAAAUUACGACUCAUAAAACUUUGAGUAUUAAUAGAUGACGUAGAAAAAAACAUGUUUUGGCUAACAAAAAUAACAAAACAAUAAAAUACAAUUCAGAAUGGAAGAAAUUACAUGAUAUGAAAUAGAAUAAACACAAGACACACAAUAAGGCUUUGGGUUUAGAUGGCAUAACCCAAUGGGACCAUUGUCUGAAUUUCCAUUUUCAGCAAACCAAAUAAUUAAUAUAUAUAUAUAUAUAUAUAUAUAUAUAUAUAUAUAUAUAUAUAUAUAUAUAUAUAUAUAAAUAAUUUACAAAUUACAAGAAAUAUUCACAAGCGAAAAGAGAUAGUUACAAAGUGAACGAGCUAUGCAGUAAAAAUUAAUAAUGGUGUAUGAAUGCUGUAAGAUAACUUAUUUCUGUCUAAAUACAGCUAAAUAUCCGUUUAAAAAGUAAUGCAAAACUUUUUUUAAGUGCCAAAAUGCUGUCUCAGUACAAGCAAGUGGCAUAAAAUCGAAGUAACGCCAUCUACUGGGCUAGUGGUGGAAAAUGGGCAUAAAGCGACAGAAUUAAAGAACAAGUCUGAAAGGCAACCCUGUUUGAUUCGCUCAUUGUCAAAUUCUGCAUUCGUGUUACCUUAGAAGUCAGAUGUCGGAACUGAAAACGACGUAACACCGAAUUACCAGCGUUUCAGUUACCAAGUUGGAGAAAAAAAGCAAAUUCGGAGGCGGAAACAAGAUGGCUACAUCUACGAAAGAUAUUUUUGUGCUUGCUUUGUCCGAAUAUAAGAGAAGCGCUACAAUAACCUUAGUAGAUUUAGCCAUCUUGUUUCCACCUCCGAUUUUGCUUUUUUCCGACUUGGUACCUGAAAUGCUGGUAACUCGGUUGUGACCAUAGACAUUAUACACGUGGACCCCUCAUUACGUGCUGGAGCGUAAUCCAGCGUCACUGCCAUAUUGGAUGGGUCUCCCCACUCCAAGCUCGCUCAAGAGCCAAACGGGGUCAAUGGAGAACCAGCUACUAUGCCCAUAUUUUUGCACUCUAUGGCUGAAAAAACUGACGCAGUAUUGAAAUCAGAUCACAUUGGAUAACAUUUCACAAAUAAGAUUGAAAAAUAAAUUUGGUUAUUUUUGAUGACUGACCUUGUCCUGUAUUAUGGCUACAUCCCUGCCGUUUGUAACCAACCAAACAGUGUGAAAAUCGGGCCAAGAUUCAGAGAGUUAUCAUUAAUAUGGUUGGGCAUUCCUACCUUAAUUAAUGGACUAGAGGCGCAUGGGGGAACCAUCCAAAACGGUCAGCCGCGCUGAUACGUGAUCUCCAAUAGGCAACGUCUCAUUUUCAGCUCGGAAAUCUGACUUCCGAGGUAACUCGAGCGCACCAACAGAAUCGUUCCAAGGAAUCGAAUCGUUCGCGGGCGCAGUUCAAACGGGAUUAACGUUCGACGGUUAAAACAAUUGUGUUCGUCCUGUGGUCGACCCGAAAAGUAACACAAACCAUAUUUAUGUAUUAUGGCUACAUCCCUGCCGUUUGUAACUAACGAAACAGUGUGAAAAUUGGGCAAAGAUUCAGAGAGUUAUUAUUAAUAUGGUUGGGCAUUCCUACCUACUUUAAUGGACGACUAUAGGCAACGUCGCACUUUGAGGCGUCGACAUAUGUCUCAUUUUCAGCUCGGAAAUCUGACUUCCGAGGCAACUCGAACGCGCCAUGAGAAACGUUCCAAGGAAUCGAAUCGUUCGCGGGCGCAGUUUAAACGGGAUUAACGUUCGGCGGUUAAAACAAUUCUGUUUGUCCUGUCGUUGACCCGAAAAGUAACGCAAACCGAUAAAACCAAGUGUUUUUGGAAAAAUAACCACACUGACAGUGACUGUGUGGUUCUGACUCACUUUUAAAGAAGUUAAAAGGUAAUUUCAAGAAGGCUACAGGUGCGAUUUAGAGUCUUUCGAUACCUGUUAAGGCCUGAUGGACGCUGCUGUGCGGUUGUGGAGGAAGACAUUUCAAAAGUGGAGACAAACUGGACUCGGAGGAGGUGAAGAAACAAACUUUUUGGAUAUUAACUACAGCAGAUCUUCUACAAUGGCCGGAUUGGACUCAAACUCCGGCUGCUGGCUGAAGACAUCAACAGUAAGUGUUUUAUAUCUUUUAUUUCCAAACUGUCCUGGUUGUUCGUCGCUGUGUGGACCGCCGUGUCUGCUUCGCUCCUGUAUGAACACUGCUUGAACACUUUCCUGAUUUCAAUGUAUG